rnacentral:rRNA from 1 species
UACGUAGGGGGCUAGCGUUGCUCGGAAUUACUGGGCGUAAAGGGCGCGUAGGCGGCACUGUUAGUCAGGCGUGAAAGUCCUGGGCUCAACCUGGGAACUGCGCUUGAUACGGCAGAGCUAGAGGAUGGAAGAGGGUCGCGGAAUUCCCAGUGUAGAGGUGAAAUUCGUAGAUAUUGGGAAGAACACCGGUGGCGAAGGCGGCGACCUGGUCCAUUACUGACGCUGAGGCGCGACAGCGUGGGGAGCAAACAGG